AUGAUCAAUUGAAAUUCCCUCUGCUGGAGCUAAUGGUGUUCUUAAAACUGUAAGUGCAUGGAGUUGUCAAGCCCAGACUUUGAGAAAGCUUCUGCACCUUUAUAAUGUGCUUUAAACAUUCGCCUAGUAUGGGCCUUACUAUUACACACACAGCAGCUCUCAUUACUGCAGCACUAUCUGUUUUAUGAGACUCUUAAGGGAACAGAAACCCACCCAGAGUCUGAAUCUGGCAACCCUGCCAGAGCAGCAUCAUGACACAGAUUCAGAAUAAAUACAGUUGACACCUCUGUUGUGGUUUCCUAGCAGGGCUUUGUGCCUUCAGCAGCUAGAAGACGACAUAAAAUGAGUGGGGAAGCCUUUCUUCUUCAUUGUGGCCUCCACCUGUUUGACUGCCUAUUUUGCAGGUGCUGAACGCCAGAAAAAAGGCGAUCACCACUCUCUGAAAAUUAGAGGGUUAAUUGGUUUUAAACCUGCUACCCAGAGUGCACUUAAAAUAUACUUCCCUUCCCUAGUUACCCCAACCUGCUUUCCAGAUACUUCAGUUCCUUUUUGUUUUGCGCAACAUACUGAGGUUUCUCUAUUACUCCUGGACCAACAAGCCCUGCAAAAGUAAGAGGUUUCUGCGGUGUGUGCAUCUCUUCAUCGCACAACCAGGCGAGCCAAAGGAUCCCAUCAUGGAUUUUCCCCAUCCCAUCUAUUUUGGU